rnacentral:rRNA from 1 species
UACGUAGGGCGCAAGCGUUGUCCGGAAUUAUUGGGCGUAAAGAGCUCGUAGGCGGCUUGUCACGUCGGAUGUGAAAGCCCGGGGCUUAACUCCGGGUCUGCAUUCGAUACGGGCUAGCUAGAGUGUGGUAGGGGAGAUCGGAAUUCCUGGUGUAGCGGUGAAAUGCGCAGAUAUCAGGAGGAACACCGGUGGCGAAGGCGGAUCUCUGGGCCAUUACUGACGCUGAAGCACGAAAGCGUGGGGAGCAAACAGG